GGAAGCGUGGCGACAUGUGGAGCUGACUGAUACUAAUCGAUCGAGGACUUAACCACA
rnacentral:rRNA from 1 species